UCCGAAUUGGUGUAGGGGUCAACAUUGCUGCUUCUCACCGAUUACAUAAGCUACGGCUUUGUAAUGAGUUCGCAGCAGCCCGGGGUUCGAUUCCCCGAUUCGGAA